CAGCAUCCUGACGGCUGUAGCAAAAGAUUGGAAAGUUUGAGGGGAGAAGCUUUAAGACAAGAGAAACAAAGCACAUUACUCUGUGUCUGCUGCCAGCAGUCUGCCAGAAGCAGAGACCAAGAACCACUCAAAAUUAAUGUCCUUUCAGCCUCUUCAUUCCUGGAGAGCAGGUGACCCAGGAGGGAAGGAGGAAGAAGAUGCUGAGUUUCAAGAAGAG